rnacentral:rRNA from 1 species
GUGUUGUGGGAUUGGACCGUAUGGGUUCUGCCGAGCCUGUGACUGUGGUCGGUGUGGUGUUAGCGGAAGACUUCUGGAAAGGGUCGCCGUAGUGGGUGAGAGCCCCGUACGCGAAAAUACUGCACGCAUGGUGGGUCUUGUUCCCAAGUAGCAGCGGGCUCGUGAAAUCUGCUGUGAAUCUGCCGGGACCACCCGGUAAGCCUAAAUACUCCCUGAUGACCGAUAGCGGACAAGUACCGUGAGGGAAAGAUGAAAAGUACCCCGGGAGGGGAGUGAAAUAGUACCUGAAACCGUGUGCCUACAAGCCGUCAGAGCUGAGCAAUUGGUGAUGGCGUGCCUUUUGAAGAAUGAGCCUGCGAGUUAUGCUUCGUGGCGAGGUUAACCUGUUGUGGGGUAGCCGUAGCGAAAGCGAGUCUGAAUAGGGCGUGUAGUCGCGGGGUGUAGACCCGAAGCGGAGUGAUCUACCCAUGGCCAGGGUGAAGCGGCUGUAAGAGGUCGUGGAGGCCCGAACCCACCAGGGUUGAAAACCUGGGGGAUGAGCUGUGGGUAGGGGUGAAAGGCCAAUCAAACUCCGUGAUAGCUGGUUCUCCCCGAAAUGCAUUUAGGUGCAGCGUCGCGUGUUGGGUGCCGGAGGUAGAGCACUGGAUGGGCUAGGGGGCCGACAAGCUUACUGAACUCAGCCAAACUCCGAAUGCCGGUACUUUGAGCGCGGCAGUGAGACUGCGGGGGAUAAGCUUCGUAGUCGAGAGGGAAACAGCCCAGAUCACCGGCUAAGGCCCCUAAGCGUGUGCUAAGUGGGAAAGGAUGUGGGAUCGCCCGGACAACCAGGAGGUUGGCUUAGAAGCAGCCACCCUUUAAAGAGUGCGUAAUAGCUCACUGGUCAAGUGGUCCUGCGCCGACAAUGUAGCGGGGCUCAAGUGCACCGCCGAAGCCGUGGCAACAUCAUAUGUAACCCGCUUUCCGGCUUGUCCGGUUUGUGUAGUUGUGGUGUUGGGUAGGGGAGCGUCAUGCAUCCAGGGAAGCUCCGGGGUGACCCAGGGGUGGAGGGUGUGUGAGUGAGAAUGCAGGCAUGAGUAGCGAAUGCAGAGUGAGAAUCUCUGCCGCCGAAUGACCAAGGGUUCCUGGGCCAGGUUGUUCCGCCCAGGGUGAGCCGGGACCUAAGGCGAGGCCGACAGGCGUAGUCGAUGGACAACGGGUUGAUAUUCCCGUGCUCGUGAUAGUGCGCCCGUGUCGAGGCCUGGGAUGCUAACCAUCCGAACCCGCUUACUGACCUUCGGGUUGGUUUGUUGGGGGAGCGUGGGACCCGACCUGGUAGUAGACAAGCGAUGGGGUGACGCAGGAGGGUAGCUCCGCCAGGCGUUGGUUGUCCUGGUGCAAGCCUGUAGCCCGAGAUCCAGGUAAAUCCGGUUCUCGUGAAGGGUGAGAGGUGAUGCGUAGCCGAUUGAGGCGAAGUAGGGUGAUCCCAUGCUGCCGAGAAAAGCCUCUAGCGAGUGCUGUUGCGGCCCGUACCCCAAACCGACACAGGUGGUCAGGUAGAGAAUACCGAGGCGAUCGAGUGAACUGUGGUUAAGGAACUCGGCAAAAUACCUCCGUAACUUCGGGAGAAGGAGGACCGUCUGGCUUGAAGCCCUUCGCGGGCUAGGGUUGGGCGGUCGCAGAGACCAGGCCCAAGCGACUGUUUACUAAAAACACAGGUCCGUGCGAAGUCGUAAGACGAUGUAUACGGACUGACGCCUGCCCGGUGCUGGAACGUUAAGAGGACCUGUUAGUCCCUUUGGGGGCGAAGCGGAGAAUUUAAGCGCCAGUAAACGGCGGUGGUAACUAUAACCAUCCUAAGGUAGCGAAAUUCCUUGUCGGGUAAGUUCCGACCUGCACGAAUGGCGUAACGACUUCCCC